rnacentral:tRNA from 1 species
GCUGUGGCUCAGUGGUAGCGCCUUUGCUUGGGAUGCAGAAAGUCCCAAGUUCAAUCCCCGGUAUCUCCA